AGGAUGCUUCAAACUGCAGAGAUC
rnacentral:siRNA from 1 species